rnacentral:rRNA from 1 species
CACGUAGUUAGCCGGAGCUUUUUCUUCAGGUACCGUCAUUAUCGUCCCUGAUAAAAGGAGUUUACAAUCCGAAAACCUUCUUCCUCCACGCGGCAUCGCUGCAUUAGGGUUUCCCCCAUUGUGCAAUAUUCCCCACUGCUGCCUCCCGUAGGAGUCUGGGCCGUGUCUCAGUCCCAAUGUGGCCGUUCAACCUCUCAGUCCGGCUACUGAUCGUCGACUUGGUGAGCCGUUACCUCACCAACUAUCUAAUCAGACGCGAGCCCAUCUCUGAGCGAAUUUCUUUGAUAACAAAUCAUGCGAUUUCACUAUGUUAUGAGGUAUUACCAUCCGUUUCCAGAAGCUAUCCCUCUCUCAGAGGCAGGUUGCUCACGUGUUACUCACCCGUCCGCCACUAACUUGAGGAAGCAAGCUUCCUCUCGUCCGUUCGACUUGCAUGUGUUAGGCGUUGCCCGCCAGCGUUCGUCCUGUAGCCCAGGAGUACAAACUCUA